GAUGAACGCUAGCUACAGGCUUAAUACAUGCAAGUCGAGGGACUGGCGCACGGGUGAGUAACACUUAUCCAACCUGCCCUUUACUCGGGGAGAGCCUUUCGAAAGAAAGAUUAAUACCCGAUGUUACGGAUGGGGAUGCGUUCCAUUAGGUUGUUGGUGAGGUAACGGCUCGCCAAGCCUUCGAUGGAUAGGGGUUCUGAGAGGAAGGUCCCCCACAUUGGAACUGAGACACGGUCCAAACUCGUACGGGAGGCAGCAGUGAGUAAUAUUAGGCAAUGGGCGUUAGCCUGAACCAGCCAAGUAGCGUGAAGGAUGAAGGCUUAUGGGUCGUAAACUUCUUUUAUAUAAGAAUAUGUAUUAUAUGAAUAAGGAUCGGCUAACUCCGUGCCAGCAGCCGCGGUAAUUC
rnacentral:rRNA from 1 species